rnacentral:sRNA from 1 species
ACUCACAUUGAUUAACACAUAUUAACCUGAAUGCUAAUGAAAUGACUCAUCGUUCAUCUUAAAAUGAUCCCAAGUUUUAAGAAAACUUGAAGUCAUACAUUUCUCCUUUGCCGGAUCUGUGAAAGCAGAUUCGUUGUUAUACGCAAUGAAAACCCCAAUCAUUGCGUAUUUUUUUGCCUUAAAUUCA